CUGGGCGUUAAGUUGCAGGGUAUAGACCCGAAACCCGGUGAUCUAGCCAUGGGCAGGUUGAAGGUUGGGUAACACUAACUGGAGGACCGAACCGACUAAUGUUGAAAAAUUAGCGGAUGACUUGUGGCUGGGGGUGAAAGGCCAAUCAAACCGGGAGAUAGCUGGUUCUCCCCGAAAGCUAUUUAGGUAGCGCCUCGUGAAUUCAUCUCCGGGGGUAGAGCACUGUUUCGGCAAGGGGGUCAUCCCGACUUACCAACCCGAUGCAAACUGCGAAUACCGGAGAAUGUUAUCACGGGAGACACACGGCGGGUGCUAACGUCCGUCGUGAAGAGGGAAACAACCCAGACCGCCAGCUAAGGUCCCAAAGUCAUGGUUAAGUGGGAAACGAUGUGGGAAGGCCCAGACAGCCAGGAUGUUGGCUUAGAAGCAGCCAUCAUUUAAAGAAAGCGUAAUAGCUCACUGGUCGAGUCGGCCUGCGCGGAAGAUGUAACGGGGCUAAACCAUGCACCGAAGCUGCGGCAGCGACACUAUGUGUUGUUGGGUAGGGGAGCGUUCUGUAAGCCUGUGAAGGUGGCCUGUGAGGG
rnacentral:rRNA from 1 species